GUCACACUGGCCCGACUCAGCAGAGACCCUGAGGUGGCUCAGACGGCCAUCCAGCUACAGGCCGUCCCUCGUCUCAUUGAGUUGUGCCGUUCUCCAGCUGAGAGGAACAACAGUGACUCAGUGCUGGUAGCCUGCCUGGCUGCACUGAGGCGUUUAGCAGCUGGUUGUCCCGACAGUAUCGAGCCAUCUGACCACCAGCAGCUCAUCAAGCCCAGACUGGUGGACUCCUUCCUACUCUGCUCCAACAUGGAGGAAAGCUUUGUGUGAGAGGCCACUUCAAUGGACUUCACAUUCCCCCUAGUGUCUGCUAUCAGUGUAUUGGGUCUUUGAUCAAAAAGAAAUGUGCUACUAAAACAAGUGUUAUGAUAAUGUAAUAUAACCAUACUUUUACAUGUGGUAUAAGCUGUUCAUUUGUCAUUUUUAUUUAAAAAAAAAGAUUAUUAUAAACAUGGCAUGCACAGAAUAAAGCAAUAUUUGAUGAAGCAUUGUAAUCUCUGGAAUGCCAGUGUCUUUGUGUUUGAAUCGGCUUUGAUCCUCUUCUAUACAAAUGACCCACACAAGAGUCUGCCACAGAAAGGGGGUCACCGACGGUGUUGACUGCACACAUGUUCAAGCACAUAUCUAAUCUCUAGAGGAAGGGCCUGCAGCUUCAACAGAAGAAAACAACUCAAAGUCAUUCAACACUUACAGACAGACACACGCUGAGCAUUUUAACC